AUGUAAACAAACAGGAGGAGGGAAAUUGGAAUGAUACAGAGAAGAUUAGCAUGGUCCCUGUGCAAGGAUGACACGCAAAUUCGAGAUAUUACCUAGUCUGUC